UACGUAGGUUGCGAGCGUUGUCCGGAUUUACUGGGCGUAAAGCGCACGCAGGCGGUUCUUUAAGUCCUGGGUGAAAUCGCCCGGCUCAACUGGGCGGGGGCCUGGGGGACUGCGGGACUGGAGGGGCCUAGAGGCCGGUGGAACUCCCGGUGUAGUGGUGAAAUGCGUAGAGAUCGGGAAGAACACCAGUGGCGAAGGCGGCCGGCUGGGGGCGCCCUGACGCUGAGGCGCGAGAGCGUGGGGAGCGAACCGG
rnacentral:rRNA from 1 species